ACGAUGGGCUGGUUUUGUAAUUUCCUGACUGACACUUAAAAUGCAGUUUAUUUUUUAAAAUAAAAUGUAGCAGAAGAGGCAGGGAGGCUCAUGAAACAUGAUUUGAGAUUAUGAGUGUAACACAGACAUUAAUGGGAAUAGAUAGCUUGCUGUUCUGAUGCAGCUAAUUGGUAUUUCUGGAAGGUAUUUCUAUGCUGAUUGAAAUGUUUAAGUCAGAUGUCCAGAAGUGCUCUAAAAACCAGCGUCUGUAACCUGAAAUAAAUAACUUCAAAAGGAAGACUUGCCAAGUACUUGUGGAUAAGAGGUGCAAAGGCUUCCAAAUGCCUUCCACAGAGAUAAAAUCCUACCUACCUGCUUCACUGUCACUGCACCAUGAAUCUGAAUUAUCUUGACUUCUAAUCUGUGAAAUACAGGGUCAGAAAUAAAAAUAUUACCUGCUGUCUAGAAGGCGGCAGCAACUACAGGCAGUUUGGAAAGUUGUUCCAGUUCCUCUGAACAGUAGAAGCAGUGCAAAGUGACCAGCGAUGGAGACUGACGAGUGGAGAGGAGUAUGGAAGAAGCGAAAAUUUAAGCAAAAACUUCUGAAGUCAACAAAAGGAACUGUAUAUUUUUAUUGUAAUGCUAUCUUCUAUGCUCUUUAUCUUCCCCAGCAAUAGAGAAAGCUUGAAGAACUGAUUAAAUGACUCUCAGGAUAACUUUUUGAUCAGGUAAUAUAAAUUGCCAUGGAAGCUGGAGAAGUACAGCUCACAAUAAGGGAGCUAAGAUUCCUCCAGCCCACACAGAGAUUUAAAAUCAAAUCUUGAAGCAUGGAUAAAAAUAUAUACAGAAGGAAUGAAAAACAAUGAGUGCUAAUGCGUCCUACAAUAUUUCCCACAUUAUUUCUCUUCUUGUUGAUCACGGCUGUGAUCUUUUCUUCAUAAUUUUGAAGUCAAACUCUAAGAAAAAUAUGACAACUAUUUUUUUUUUUUGCUUGUUUGUUUGUUUUGAGCCCAUCAGGCUUUUAAGCUGAAGGUUUUACUGCGGAGCACUAUGAUACGUUUACAAUGGCAGCUUCUCAGUCAACGUGUACCUGUGUGCAUUUACAGAAAAACAUGUGCCUCACAAAGUAGAAAAUACAUUUUAAAUUACUUUUUGAC
ensembl:lncRNA